UACCAGCUCUCCGAGUGGUAGGGAUGAUUAUUGGGCUUAAAGCGUCCGUAGCCGGCUUAGCAAGUCUCCUGUUAAAUUCAGCGACCUAAUCGUUGAGCCGCGGGAGAUACUACUAGGCUAGGAGGCGGGAGAGGUCAACGGUACUUCCGGGGUAGGGGUGAAAUCCUAUAAUCCCGGGAGGACCACCAGUGGCGAAGGCUGUUGACUAGAACGCGCCCGACGGUGAGGGACGGAAAGACUGGGGAGGCGAACCGGAAGUUAGAUACCCGGGUAACGGUCCCACGCUGUAAACGAAUGCGAGCUAGGUGUUGGGGUGGGCGUACGUGCCGACUUCAGUAGCCGCCAGGGAAGGCCACUUAAGACUCGCCGCCUGGGGAGGUGCGGCCGCAAGGCUGAAACUUAAAGGAAUUGGCGGGGGAGCACCACAAGGCGUGAAGCUUGCGGUUC
rnacentral:rRNA from 1 species